rnacentral:rRNA from 1 species
CCUACGGGAGGCAGCAGUGAGGAAUAUUGGUCAAUGGGCGAGAGCCUGAACCAGCCAAGUCGCGUGAGGGAAGACGGUCCUAUGGAUUGUAAACCUCUUUUGCCGGGGAGCAAAACGCGGUACGUGUACCGCCUCGAGCGUACCCGGCGAACAAGCAUCGGCUAACUCCGUGCCAGCAGCCGCGGUAAUACGGAGGAUGCGAGCGUUAUCCGGAUUUAUGGGGUUAAAGGGGUGCGCAGGCGGAGCGUUAAGUCAGCGGUAAAAUUUCGGGGCUCAACCCCGACAAGCCGUUGAAACUGGCGGGCUAGAGUGGGCGAGAAGUAUGCGGAAUGCGUGGUGUAGCGGUGAAAUGCAUAGAUAUCACGCAGAACUCCGAUGGCGAAGGCAGCAUACCGGCGCACAACUGACGCUCAGGCACGAAAGCGUGGGUAUCGAACAGGAUUAGAUACCCCUGUAGUC